UAGUCCAUGCUUGCAGGGAUCAUUUAUACAGUUUGUUGCUACAGAAGUUUGUCGGAACUUGUGGAGCACUGCGAAGCAGGGCGGAGGGGGGCAGUGUUUCUUCUUAAGUAUGAAGCAAAGCGCCAAUGGUGUCACUUAGCUGCAACUGCCUUUUGCCACUAAUGACCAUUCCUUCCCUUGGGGAGGGUGAGAGAGAACACGAUGUGUGUUGG
rnacentral:snoRNA from 1 species